rnacentral:rRNA from 1 species
GAUGAACGCUGGCGGCGUGCCUAAUACAUGCAAGUCGAGCGAACAGAUGAGGAGCUUGCUCCUCUGACGUUAGCGGCGGACGGGUGAGUAACACGUGGAUAACCUACCUAUAAGACUGGGAUAACUUCGGGAAACCGGAGCUAAUACCGGAUAAUAUAUUGAACCGCAUGGUUCAAUAGUGAAAGACGGUUUUGCUGUAACUUAUAGAUGGAUCCGCGCCGCAUUAGCUAGUUGGUAAGGUAACGGCUUACCAAGGCAACGAUGCGUAGCCGACCUGAGAGGGUGAUCGGCCACACUGGAACUGAGACACGGUCCAGACUCCUACGGGAGGCAGCAGUAGGGAAUCUUCCGCAGUAGGCGAAAACCUGACGGAGCAACGCCGCGUGAGUGAUGAAGGUCUUCGGAUCGUAAAACUCUGUUAUUAGGGAAGAACAAAUGUGUAAGUAACUAUGCACGUCUUGACGGUACCUAAUCAGAAAGCCACGGCUAACUACGUG